AAAUAAGGUCACUAGGGUUCCGGUCUGCAAUACGCAGAUGGCUGGUCCGAGAGUGACCGACCGCCCUCUGGCGGUUACACGGCGGGAUAAAAGCCCGGGAGGC
rfam:Serratia sp. M24T3 contig040, whole genome shotgun sequence.